AGUAACGCGUGGGUAACCUGCCUUAUACAGGGGGAUAACAGUCAGAAAUGGCUGCUAAUACCGCAUAAGCGCACAGAGCUGCAUGGCUCAGUGUGAAAAACUCCGGUGGUAUGAGAUGGACCCGCGUCUGAUUAGCUAGUUGGUGGGGUAACGGCCCACCAAGGCGACGAUCAGUAGCCGGCUUGAGAGAGUGAACGGCCACAUUGGGACUGAGACACGGCCCAAACUCCUACGGGAGGCAGCAUG
rnacentral:rRNA from 1 species